rnacentral:tRNA from 1 species
GGUUGUGGCUCAGUGGUAGAGCGCUAGACUAGCAUGUGUGAGGCACUGGGUUUGAUUCUCAGCACCA